rnacentral:tRNA from 1 species
GCGGGUUUAGCUCAUCUGGUAGAGCGCCACCUUGCCAAGGUGGAGGUAGCGAGUUCGAGCCUCGUCAACCCGCUCCA